AAGAAGUGCAAGUUUGGAGUGUCAUCUAUCACCUACCUGGGACACCGCAUCAGCGCGGACGGCGUGAGUCCGACCGACGACAAGCUGCUGGAGACUUGCCAGAGCCCGGCGAGACUCUGCACCUGGUGGAGAUGAUGGACGCUUCGCCAGUGACCGCCGCUGUGGUUCGACUGGCGACUGAACGUGACGCCACCCUCAGCAGAGUGCUGCAGUACACCCGAGACGGCUGGCCUGAGGACAGGAGCGGCGAGUCACCGGAGUUAAGUGCAUAUCGCACGAAGCAAGGUGUCGGGACUGGCCGGCGUCGGCAGGACAACACGCUGGCUACCCGGACACUGCAUCAACAUCUCGGGACUCAAGCUCACGGUCCGGCUGGACGACGGACGAGUCCUCCAGCGCCAUCUGGACCAGGUGGUCCCGAGAGCGGUCGCCGGGAACCAGGCCGUCCGACAGCCGACGGACUGGACGGCGGCGCCGCGGCCUCCUCAAACGCCGCCGACGUCGCUGCCGACAACUCCAACGUCGCAGGCGACGCCUUCACCGCCGACGCCCUCACCGCCGACGCCUUCACCGCCGACUCCCACGCCGCUUCCGCCACCGCCAGCGGAAUGUCCGGAACGGGAGAGGCCUUCGUCUCCCUCCCCAGUGGGGCGGCCGGCUCGUGGGUUGGAGGGACGGGGUGAGCUCAACUCGCGAUUGAAGUGUGACGUCCAAUUGUCGCGAGGCGAGAGUGUUGAGUGUCGCGAGCCUGUGUCAGCGCCGCAGGUACCGCGCUAUAACCUGAGACCGAGAAAAUAGUUGUUAACUAGGGGGGAGGAAUGUGGUAGAUUGUCACA
rnacentral:misc_RNA from 1 species